rnacentral:rRNA from 1 species
CCUACGGGAGGCAGCAGUGGGGAAUAUUGCGCAAUGGGCGAAAGCCUGACGCAGCAACGCCGCGUGCGGGAUGAAGGCCUUCGGGUUGUAAACCGCUUUCAGCAGGGAAGAAGCGAAAGUGACGGUACCUGCAGAAGAAGCACCGGCUAACUACGUGCCAGCAGCCGCGGUAAUACGUAGGGUGCAAGCGUUGUCCGGAUUUAUUGGGCGUAAAGAGCUCGUAGGCGGUUAGUCACGUCGGAUGUGAAAACCCAGUGCUUAACACUGGGCCUGCAUUCGAUACGGGCUGACUAGAGUGUUGUAGGGGAGACUGGAACUCCUGGUGUAGCGGUGAAAUGCGCAGAUAUCAGGAAGAACACCGGUGGCGAAGGCGGGUCUCUGGGCAACUACUGACGCUGAGGAGCGAAAGCGUGGGGAGCAAACAGGAUUAGAUACCCUGGUAGUCCACGCCGUAAACGGUGGGCGCUAGGUGUGGGGAACAUUCCACGUUCUCCGUGCCGCAGCUAACGCAUUAAGCGCCCCGCCUGGGGAGUACGGCCGCAAGGCUAAAACUCAAAGGAAUUGACGG